UUUAUCCCUGCAGUUGUUUAAACACCUUUACUGUGGCCAGCCUACUUCCUAAAGGGAGAAAAUCCAGAGCUUUGCUGUCUUGGUCCCCAAAAGCAGGACCAAGUAUUUUCUGACCAAAGAGAUAUUCUGAUUGUGACAUCUCUAACUGUGUUUGACUCAUUAUUCUGUCUACUACUUCCCAUCAUUAUGCAUGGAAGAAAGAUUACUUGGAAUGAGUUUGGAUCUUUUCAGCAUCUGUGGUGAUCAGCUUAUGAUGAAUAUCUGUACACCAAACAGUGAAUAAACUUC